ACCGCAAAACCCAAAGACCCACUUAGGUGUCCCCUCUCUCCGCAGAAGAGAGAGCUUUUCCCUUUCUCUCUGUUAAACCUCUUCUCUUAAACUCACUUCUUGCGUGUCCUCGUCCUCGAUUUCCUUGGCGUAAGACGACGAACCUCAGGCAUUUACCCCAGACAACGAAGGUGCUUCAUAAGGUCAUGCAGCUGGUUGGCUUCAUCCUUAGGCUGCCUCUACAGUGGAAACAAGAUGGUGGCUACAUAUUCAGAAGAAGAGUGACAUCUUCUCUUCCACGCACCCCCUUGAAGCUCAUUGGCUCUAACUGAUCAGUUGCUCUGGGGGAAGCCAGCUGUCAUGUGACAAACAGCUCUCCACAGAGGAUUAUGGGGCAUGUAACUGAGGCCUCCAGCCAGCGGCCACGUCAGUGAGUUUGGAAAUAGGUCCUCUAGCCCAGUUGAGCCUUCAGAAGACGACAUGAGGAUUUGCUGCAGUUCUGCCCAACAUCUUGAUUUCAAGCUCAUGAGACAGCCUAAGCCCAAACCACCCAGCUAAGCCAUUCCUAGAUUCCUGACCCAAAGAAACUAUGUGAGAUUAUGUGUCUGGUAUUUUAAGCACUAAGUUCUGGGAUAAUUUGUUUUGAAGCAAUAGUUAAGAAAUACAAUGAGAUAACACUAAACGCAAUGAGAGAGCACUAAACACUAUACUUGGUGUAGAUAAGGUCAUGGAGCCACAGGAAUGCUCAUUUUGUGCUAGUGGAAAAGGAAAUUGGAAAAACCAUUUUGCAAUGUAUAACCAGGUGGCAAUAUCUACAGUUUUAAAGCUAUGCCUAUUAUAUGAUCUCACAGUUCCACUUCUAGGUAUAUAGUGCAUGAUCCUGUGCACAGGAGACAUGCACAUGAAUAUUCAUAGCAGGAAUGUUUGUAGUAGCCUCAAAUUGGAAACCAUCCACAUAUCCAUCAGUAAUGGAAUGGAUAAAUAAGUUUUGGUAGCAGUUGAGCCUUGAACAACACGAGUUUAAACUAUGUGGGUCCACUUAAUAUGCACAUUUUCUGGGUCCACUUAUAUGCAGAUUUUCUUCUACCUCUGCUACCCCUGAGAUGGUAAGACCAUCUUCCUUGAUCCACUUCCACAGUAAAUACAUUUUCUCUUUCUUAUGAUUUUCUUAAUAUCAUUUUCUUUUCCCUAAGCUUACUUGAUUGUAAGUGUACAGUAUGUGAUAAAAAUAACAUGCAAAAUAUGUGUUAAUCAACUGUUAAUGAUCAGUUAAUACUUCUGGUGAACAGUAGGCUGUAAGUAGUUAAGUUUUGGGGAAGUCAAAAGCAUAUGCAGAUAUUUGACUGUGUGGGGUGUUGGUAUCCCUAACCUCGUGCAUUGUUCAAGGGUCAAUUGUAUUUGUACAAUAAAAUGUUAUACAGCAAGGGUUGGAAGAUUUGUUCUGUUAAGGGCCAGAGAGUCAAUAUUUUAGGCUUUAAGGGCUGUACAGUCUCUGUCAUACCUAGUCAACUCUGCUGUUGUAGUAUGUAAGCAGCCACAGAGAAUAGGGAAAUGAAUAAGCAUGGC
rnacentral:lncRNA from 1 species